UACGUAGGGUGCGAGCGUUGUCCGGAAUUACUGGGCGUAAAGAGCUCGUAGGUGGUUUGUCGCGUUGUUCGUGAAAACCCGCGGCUCAACUGCGGGCCUGCAGCCGAUACGGGCAGGCUAGAGUUCGGUAGGGGAGACUGGAAUUCCUGGUGUAGCGGUGAAAUGCGCAGAUAUCAGGAGGAACACCGGUGGCGAAGGCGGGUCCCUGGACAACUUCUGACGCUGAGGCACGAAAGCUAGGGGAGCAAACAGG
rnacentral:rRNA from 1 species